rfam:Pan troglodytes isolate Yerkes chimp pedigree #C0471 (Clint) chromosome 9, whole genome shotgun sequence.
AUCUUCUUAUAGUUGAUAAGCGUUGAUGAUUGGAUGUUCACGCACAUGUGUGAGAUGUGCCUCCUACAACUUGAUGUUGGCAUAUUACCUGUCUGAUG